rnacentral:tRNA from 1 species
GGGCGCUUGGUCUAGGGGUAUGAUUUUCGCUUCGCAUCUCCGCCGUGAGCGGUCUGCGCCUUUGUGAAAGGUCGUGGGUUCAAUUCCCACAGUGUCCA